rnacentral:lncRNA from 1 species
GUUGCUUUAAUGCUCUUUUUGAUUCAAUGAUUUAGUUGUUCUGUCACGAUUAAAUGCACUUUACAUUCAGAAUACUUCUUGAGGUUCAGUUGAUUUUUCCUGUUUUGUGUUUUUCCUGUUUUGUGUAUACAGCAUCACAUAAUUUUUGUUCUGUAGCACUUUGAAAUUAGUUUGGUUUGAUACAGGUCUCACACCGGAGAGAAGCCCUGCAUUUGCCCCGAGUGUGGUAAGGGUUUCCGUGACAACGGACACCUGAAAGUCCACUUGAGAGUGCACACAGGUGAGAAGCCGUACUCAUGCACGGACUGCGGGAGACGGUUCGGCCAGGCUGAUGUCCUGAAGCGACACCGUAUGGUUCACACGGGGGAGAAACCAUACUCCUGCGCCCUGUGUAGGAGGAGGUUUGCUCAGCCCGCCACUUUGAAGUACCACCUCCGGACCCACGUUGGCGAGAACCGGGCCGGGCAGAACCAGGCAGGAGGGUCUCAGUGCUGCCCCGUGUGUGGACGGGAUGUCCCGACAGAGAAAGCCCUGAGAGGACACCUGGGGGCUCACAUGGACGGGGACGUAUGUCACACUGAGGAAGAGGAGGAGGUUGGGGGACUGAUUAAUUCAGAUGGAGAGGAUGUCAGCUGGGAUCCUUCUGAUCUGAGUAAGUGGAGGGAGGUUGCGAGUCCCAAAUGUGACCCUGUUCCAUAUUUGCUAGACUACUUUCAAGAAUGA